GAGACAGGCCAUGUGUAGAGCGAGACCAUAUGGAAGAGAAAGAGGUGUCCUAGGUAGCAGCCAGUAGCCGGGCCCCAGACACGAUCUCACUAUGCAGUUCAGGCUAGCAUUGAAGUCACUAUGUAUCCUAGACUGAUCUCAAACUCGAGGUGAUCUUCCUGCCUCAGCUUCCCUAGUGCUGGGACUACAGAGCAUCCCGACCACCUGAGAUGCCAGUGUGACCAGGCCAGGUGCCCAUGCCAACUGGGAAGACAAGAUUGUGCCUGCAUCCUCUGGUGCCUCUGUCCCACACCUGAGUACUCUCUUCAUGGGGAAACAAGGAAAGGCCUGAUAAGGGGCAGAAUGUGGAC
rnacentral:lncRNA from 1 species